rnacentral:rRNA from 1 species
GAUGAACGCUGGCGGCGUGCCUAAUACAUGCAAGUCGAGCGAACAGACGAGGAGCUUGCUCCUCUGACGUUAGCGGCGGACGGGUGAGUAACACGUGGAUAACCUACCUAUAAGACUGGGAUAACUUCGGGAAACCGGAGCUAGUACCGGAUAAUAUAUUGAACCGCAUGGUUCAAUAGUGAAAGACGGUUUUGCUGUCACUUAUAGAUGGAUCCGCGCCGCAUUAGCUAGUUGGUAAGGUAACGGCUUACCAAGGCAACGAUGCGUAGCCGACCUGAGAGGGUGAUCGGCCACACUGGAACUGAGACACGGUCCAGACUCCUACGGGAGGCAGCAGUAGGGAAUCUUCCGCAAUGGGCGAAAGCCUGACGGAGCAACGCCGCGUGAGUGAUGAAGGUCUUCGGAUCGUAAAACUCUGUUAUUAGGGAAGAACAAAUGUGUAAGUAACUAUGCACGCCUUGACGGUACCUAAUCAGAAAGCCACGGCUAACUACGUG